GGGGAUGUUUUGAUUCGACAGAAAUAGCAAGCAAUCGUUGAAGCCGAAGCCGAUCAACCACUUCGUAAAAAGUUGAUCACCAAUAAGUGCAAACUUAUUCUCAAAAGCGCGCGUAGCUUUUGCCAAGUCAGGCUUGGCUUUUGCUGCUCCCGCGUUUGCUUUUGCCUAAUUUAGCGUGAAAGCCAUCGCUUUAACCCAUACCUGUUAAGUUCAAGCGGUGUUAUAUCAACAGGCUCGAGCCAAUCAUUCGCCUUAAUUGUUGGCUCUAAACAAACAAAGGCAAGCGUUGCGUAUAUUUUUUCCCAUUUAAAGGCGCGAUGUACAAAACUAAUGGGAACAAGCUUCUAAAAUCGGUUGUCCAUCAUUUUUGGACGAGGGCUCAACUCCCUCCAUCUCCACCG
rnacentral:tmRNA from 1 species